UACGAAGGGGGCUAGCGUUGCUCGGAAUUACUGGGCGUAAAGGGCGCGUAGGCGGAUUGUACAGUCAGGCGUGAAAUUCCCGGGCUCAACCUGGGGGCUGCGCUUGAGACGUGCGAUCUUGAGUGGGGAAGAGGGUCGUGGAAUUCCCAGUGUAGAGGUGAAAUUCGUAGAUAUUGGGAAGAACACCGGUGGCGAAGGCGGCGACCUGGUCCUUGACUGACGCUGAGGCGCGAAAGCGUGGGGAGCAAACAGG
rnacentral:rRNA from 1 species